rnacentral:sRNA from 1 species
GCCAGGCGUGGUGGCACAUGCCUGUAAUCCCAGCUACUCGGGAGGCUGAGGCAGGAGAAUCACUUGAACCCGGGAGGCGGAGUUUGCAAUGAGCCGAGAUCGUACCAUUGCACUCCAGCCUGGGCAACAAGAGCGAAACUCCAUCUCAAAAAAAAAAGAAAUUCUUCCUUUUGAGAUGGAGUCUUGCUUUGUCGCCCAGGCUGGAGUGCAGUGGCGCGAUCUUGGCUCACUGCAAGCUCCGCCUCCUGGGUUCAUGCCAUUCUCCUGCCUCAG